UGCCAGCAGCCGCGGUAAUACGUAGGGAGCGAGCGUUGUUCGGAAUUAUUGGGCGUAAAGCGUGUGUAGGCGGUUCGUUAAGUCUGAUGUGAAAGCCCGGGGCUCAACCCCGGAAGUGCAUUGGAAACUGGCGAACUUGAGUACGGGAGAGGAAAGUGGAAUUCCGAGUGUAGGGGUGAAAUCCGUAGAUAUUCGGAGGAACACCAGUGGCGAAGGCGGCUAACUGGCUCGGUACUGACGCUGAGAUGCGAAAGCUGGGGGAGCAAACCGGAUUAGAUA
rnacentral:rRNA from 1 species